rnacentral:rRNA from 1 species
AGAGUUUGAUCCUGGCUCAAGAUGAACGCUAGCGGCAGGCUUAAUACAUGCAAGUCAGGGGGUAGCAAUACACCGGCGGACGGGUGCGUAACGCGUACACAACAUACCCUUAAGCGGGGGAUAGCAUUGGGAAACUGAUGGUAAUACCCCAUGGUGUUGGGUCAUGGCAUCAUGAUUCAACUAAAGGUUACACUUAAGGAUUGGUGUGCGUAUGAUUAGCUAGUUGGUAGGGUAACGGCCUACCAAGGCGAUGAUCAUUAGGGGGUGUGAGAGCAUGACCCCCCACACGGGUACUGAGACACGGACCCGACUCCUACGGGAGGCAGCAGUAAGGAAUAUUGGACAAUGGUCGGAAGACUGAUCCAGCCAUGCCGCGUGAAGGACGAAGGCGCUCUGCGUUGUAAACUUCUUUUGGACAGGAACAAAAAGUCGGAUGCGUCCGGCCCUGAGGGUACUGUCAGAAUAAGCACCGGCUAACUCCGCGCCAGCAGCCGCGGUAAUACGGAGGGUGCAAGCGUUAUCCGGAAUCACUGGGUUUAAAGGGUGCGUAGGCGGUUCGUUAAGUCAGUUGUGAAAUUCCCCCGCUUAACGGGAGGGACUGCGAUUGAUACUGAUGAACUUGAAUCAGGUUGAGGUAGGCGGAAUGUGACAUGUAGCGGUGAAAUGCAUAGAUAUGUCAUAGAACACCGAUUGCGAACGCAGCUUGCUGGACCUGUAUUGACGCUGACGCACGAAAGCGUGGAGAGCAACAUGAUUAGAUACCCCUGUAGUCCACGCCCUAAACGAUGUUUACUGCUGUCGCUCCGGGGCGGAGUGCGAGCGAAGUCGAUAGUCAACAGCUGAGUAGUACGCAGCACGAUGCAACUCAAGUAUUUGGACGGGUCGCACAUGCGUGGAACCUUGGUCAAUUCCGAUGAUCCGCAGCAUCUUACGUGGACUA